rnacentral:rRNA from 1 species
GACGAACGCUGGCGGCGUGCCUAAUACAUGCAAGUUGAGCGCUGAAGGUUGGUACUUGUACCAACUGGAUGAGCAGCGAACGGGUGAGUAACGCGUGGGGAAUCUGCCUUUGAGCGGGGGACAACAUUUGGAAACGAAUGCUAAUACCGCAUAAAAACUUUAAACACAAGUUUUAAGUUUGAAAGAUGCAAUUGCAUCACUCAAAGAUGAUCCCGCGUUGUAUUAGCUAGUUGGUGAGGUAAAGGCUCACCAAGGCGAUGAUACAUAGCCGACCUGAGAGGGUGAUCGGCCACAUUGGGACUGAGACACGGCCCAAACUCCUACGGGAGGCAGCAGUAGGGAAUCUUCGGCAAUAGACGAAAGUCUGACCGAGCAACGCCGCGUGAGUGAAGAAGGUUUUCGGAUCGUAAAACUCUGUUGGUAGAGAAGAACGUUGGUGAGAGUGGAAAGCUCAUCAAGUGACGAUAACUACCCAGAAAGGGACGGCUAACUACGUG